UACGUAGGGUGCAAGCGUUGUCCGGAAUUAUUGGGCGUAAAGAGCUCGUAGGCGGCUUGUCGCGUCGGCUGUGAAAACCCGGGGCUCAACCCCGGGCCUGCAGUCGAUACGGGCAGGCUAGAGUCCGGCAGGGGGAGACUGGAAUUCCUGGUGUAGCGGUGAAAUGCGCAGAUAUCAGGAGGAACACCGAUGGCGAAGGCAGAUCUCUGGGCCGUAACUGACGCUGAGGGAAGCUGGGAAA
rnacentral:rRNA from 1 species